rnacentral:rRNA from 1 species
AUACGAAAGGUGCAAGCGUUGUUCGGAUUUACUGGGCGUAAAGAGAUCGUAGGUGGUUUAUUAAGUCGGAUGUGAAAUCCCGGGGCUCAACCCCGGAACUGCAUUCGAUACUGAUAGGCUAGAGUUUGGGAGGGGUAAGCGGAAUUCCGUGUGUAGCAGUGAAAUGCGUAGAUAUACGGAGGAACACCUGAGGCGAAGGCGGCUUACUGGACCAAUACUGACACUGAGGAUCGAAAGCGUGGGUAGCAAACAGGAUUAGAAACCCCAGUAGUCC